UAUUUUUUUAAUAUUUGCAUCAUUUUGUUAUUUUUUUAAAACUCCAAAGUUGAAAAGAGUUAAGCAAAAAAAGAAAAAGAAAGCAUUUUAAAUAGAGGUUGUAUGAUUCAGUGGCUACACUCAGGUUGCGAUAAGCCCAGCUAGCAGGGGAACCCUUAGACAAACACCUGUGGCAGAUACACAAACAAUCUUUUAUUCAUUCUACUCAAAACGCCUUUUCAAUGGAUCACAUUAAGAUAGCAGCUCCAAAUUUUAUUUGGACUUCUCAGACAGAAUGAGAGAGAACAGGGGAGGAUAAGCACAAAUGCAGAUAAUCUGUCCAAGAAAAUUGUGAGAAUACACAAAAAAUAUUAAAUGGACAUAGUUCUGUAUUGCACUCAGAAGAACAGAAAGGAACUGCCUGAAGAGAUGAGACUCUGAAUCCUAUAAAGUCUCUUUACUACAAAGCAACACUGCUGGAUUUUCAUUCAUCCCAAAGUUUGGAGUUUGGAUUUGAGAAGAACCUUUUUUGAAAAAGACAAAGACCUGCAAUCGUCUAGACAGGAAGUGAUUACAAUACAAGCAAACAGUCUGACCGAGCCAUGGACGACGUAAAGAUACAAUCAGCUCUGUUCUGGAAGUGGUAAGGGAAGCAAUAACUAACAGGCAAAAAGAGGGCGGCUACAGGAGGGGCUGUGGACUAAAUACUGGGGAAAUGAGUGUAGCCUGGCUCUCCCAGAUCAGAUAAUGAAUCCACACCUGCACAUGUGUAAUCCACAUGCAACUGACUUCUCUCCACCCUCUCUGAGAUAGGCAUGAUCCCGUUUAGACGGGAGGAAGACUCCAGUGGGUGAAAUAACACUGCAAGACCAAGCUGGAGGUGGCAAAGCAGGGAUUCUCAACUCUUUCUACUCCAGCAUCAUGCCGUUCAAGGGGACGUCACAAAGACCAUCUACGCAGAAGACUGGACGACUAAGGAAAACACAGAAAGGGUGUAACUCCUACCAAACCAAACCAGGGAGUCUGAUGGCUACGUCACAGGCAUUUCAGAACAACCAAAGAAAGGAAAUGUGCAAAUAAAUUAACAAAAAGUAAAAUUCCUUCAUUUGGUACAUAUUUACAGAGCAGGGUAGCUGAAGCCAGCGCAUGAUGGCCUGACUGCUCCAAGGAUACAUCGGCCCUGCCCAGGAGUGCUUGGUGAUGAGCACUAGAGAAGGGCAAGUGACUUCUCUUGAAAAAACUGUUACAACUAUGCUGAAAUCCACACAGCAGAGAAGGUGAAUGAAUUAGCAACUCACCUCGCCACUCCACCGUAAUCCAAACCUUCUUCCCCACGGAAUUUCACCAUGAGCCGUUUUUUCAAAUCUUUCGGUCUCAUCUUCAUUAUCUGGCGGGUCUGGGCAGUGGCCCUGAACUCUCUACCUCGAAGAUUUCUUCUCUGGACACUUCGAUGCGGCAAUGACCAGCUUGGGGCUGCUGAAGGGACAGUUCGUGUCUCAGGACCUUCAGCUUCUGGACUAGAUCUCUUUCAUAUCUCUGGGCAGGAAGCUCCUCGUCCUCCACAGAGCCCUCGCUGGGCAGUGGCAGCGGCUGGCUGGGCUCCUUGAGUUGGCACUGGUGACUUGAGAAGAAGAGACACAGAAAGUCACUCCAAAGCCCCAGCCCAGAAAGCUGCAAGCACCCACAUACGCGACAGGGUUGGAGGAGAGAGCUUGCUGCAUGCAACUUCAGGCAGAAUUUGCUUCCCUGAUGACAUAACCAUGUACCUUGCUAGCUGUGUCAAAGUUGCUGAUGGCCACAGUAGCCCAAAUAUAGGUCUACAGUACAGUAAAGGAGGCACCCCAGGCCUGGCAUGGUAGCUUACACCUAUAAUCCCACCACCUGGGGAGGCCGAGGAGGGAGGAUCACCUGAAGUCAGGCAUUCAAGACCAGCCUGGCCAACAUGGCAAAACUGUGUCUCUACUAAAAAU